UUGGAGGGCAAGUCUGGUGCCAGCAGCCGCGGUAAUUCCAGCUCCAAUAGCGUAUAUUAAAGUUGUUGCAGUUAAAAAGCUCGUAGUUGAAUUUCGGGGUCAGUAGGUCGGUCGUGCCACUGGUAUGAGCUGGUUUUACUGAUUCCUCCCUCUUGAAGAACUGUAAUGCCAUUAAUUUGGUGUUGCAGGGAAUCAGGACUGUUACUUUGAAAAAAUUAGAGUGUUUAAAGCAGGCUUUAGCUUGAAUACAUUAGCAUGGAAUAAUGAAAUAGGACGUUUGAUCCUAUUUUGUUGGUUUCUAGGAUUGACGUAAUGAUUAAUAGGGAUAGUUGGGGGCAUUAGUAUUCAAUUGUCAGAGGUGAAAUUCUUGGAUUUAUUGAAGACUAACUACUGCGAAAGCAUUUGCCAAGGAUGUUUUCAUUAAUCAAGAACGAAAGUUAGGGGAUCGAAGACGAUCAGAUACCGUCGUAGUCUUAACCAUAAACUAUGCCGACUAGGGAUCGGACGAUGUUAAUUUUUUAAUGACUCGUUCGGCGCCUUACGGGAAAC
rnacentral:rRNA from 1 species